rnacentral:other from 1 species
GCGGGGCUGCGGGGCGCGUCAGGAGUACAUAUUCCCCGGGGCCUUAUCGAUCUCCUAGGGCGCUGUCCCUGGCCUUGUCCGUGGACUCGGCUACAUGGUGCCCACCUACGUUGUAGGUUCCCGGGAUCGAUCUCCAACGGCUUUCGUGGCUCCGCG